AGGAAGUAGAGAGAGAAAGCUUUGUGUGUAGAGAGAGAGAAAAGAGUGUUCACCCAAGGCCGAAAACGGUUUUGCUACCUCCAAAUUUCCCUUUGUUCUCUUUCUCGAAUCCUCAUCAUCACCAUUAGAGAGAAACAAGGGAUACCGCUGUGAGAAUCUCGUGUUCCAAGCAAUAUGUCGUUAUUCAUACUUGUAAUUUAGUUGAUUUUUGAAUCCAGCAUUUUCUAUGAAGUUAAAGCGAUCUCAACGGAUGACGG
rnacentral:misc_RNA from 1 species